UACAGCUUGGGCAGGCUCUGAGCACUAGACCAGAUAUAUUGCACCUGUUUAUUGCCAAGAACUUGCUAAGUUACAGGAUCAGAUUCCCCCAUUUCCCACCCAUGUCGCAAUAAAAUCUAUUGAAAAUGAACUGGGUACCCCAAUUUCAGAAAUAUUUGCUGAUAUAAGCCCUGAACCUAUUGCAGCUGCAUCUAUAGGACAGGUGUAUAAAGCUCACCUUCUUUCUGGAGAACUUGUAGCUGUUAAAGUACAGAGGCCUGGUAUGUCACUCUUGUUGACCCUUGAUGCAUUGUUAUUCCAUAUGAUCGGUGGUCAAUUAAAGCGAUUUGCAAAAGCCCGGAAAGAUUUGUUAGUUGCUGUAAAUGAAGUGGUCUCUCUUAAAUGAACAGGUAAGACACAUGUUUGAUGAAAUCGAUUACAUCUUGGAGGCAAGAAAUGCUGAACGCUUUGCCUCUCUUUAUGGUGACUGUCCUAGCCAUGGUCAAAUUUUUGAUCAAAAAUGAUAAAGAUGGGACUGCCAACAAAACCAAAAUUGCGAAGGGAAUAAAAAUGUCUAAAAUAUAUUGGGACCUGACACGAAAAGCUGU